UACGAAGGGGGCUAGCGUUGUUCGGAAUUACUGGGCGUAAAGGGCGCGUAGGCGGUACUUCAAGUCAGGCGUGAAAGCCCCGGGCUCAACCUGGGAACCGCGCUUGAGACUGGAGAACUAGAGUUCGGGAGAGGAUGGUGGAAUUCCCAGUGUAGAGGUGAAAUUCGUAGAUAUUCGGAAGAACACCAGUGGCGGAGGCGGCUCACUGGCCCGGUACUGACGCUGAGGUGCGAAAGCGUGGGGAGCGAACAGG
rnacentral:rRNA from 1 species